rnacentral:misc_RNA from 1 species
AUGUGUAAAACUGCAUAACAGUUAAUAUUCAGAAUCAGAUACUACACCAGAAAGCGGAACUAACAGAUAGGCCAAGUUCUAAAAAUUGAGGUGCAAAAUGGUUGAAUUUUAAAAGUUGUCUAAUUGCUUUACAACCUGAAGUAGACAUCCCUCAACUGGCCCUAAAAUCUAAUGCACAUGGUGACUGACAACAUCUGAUAUGUAGAAAGAAAACCUUUAUAAUUGAGUGUGGAACAUUCCGGCACAGUACAGCCCCCCAACCUGCAUAUAGUGAAGGUAAACCA